UGGGGAAUAUUGCACAAUGGGCGCAAGCCUGAUGCAGCAACGCCGCGUGAGGGACGACGGCCUUCUGGUUGUAAACCUCUUUUGGCAGGGAAGAAGCGAAAGUGACGGUACCUGCAGAAAAAGCACCGGCUAACUACGUGCCAGCAGCCGCGGUGAUACGUAGGGUGCAAGCGUUGUCCGGAUUUACUGGGUGUAAAGGGUGCGUAGGCGGGACUGCAAGUCAGACGUGAAAUACCGGGGCUUAACCUCGGGGCUGCGUUUGAAACUGCGGUUCUUGAGUGAAGUAGAGGCAGGCGAAAUUCCUAGUGUCGCGGUGAAAUGCGUAGAUAUUAGGAGGAACACCAGUGGCGAAGGCGGCCUGCUGGGCUUUAACUGACGCUGAAGCACGAAAGCAUGGGGAGCAAACA
rnacentral:rRNA from 1 species